UUACAAUAGAACAACCCAUUUUUUAAAAAUGAAAAUGAUAGACACUGGUGGGGAGGAAUUGCUUACUGGGUGUAGACCUCAGAUGCACAAGAGGGCAAAAUGUACUGAGGCCUUGCCCCAGGGGAGUGUGAAUAUACUAAACACUACUAAAAUAUAAAUGGUAAAUUUUAUGGUUUUUUUUCUUUUAACUAAAAUUCAAGUUAGUAAAUGAAUCAGUUAACUUAUCCCUCGCUAUGGUCAAAGAAAAAGACAUGCAACAACAGGAGAGCCGGUAAGAUGCUGGCUUUGAAGAUGAAGGAGGGAGAGUGGCCUCUAGGAGCUGGAACGGAUUCCUACCUGUAAGCCCUAGAGAUGUAGGAAAACAGCCACACUGACACACCAAUUUUUUUUUUGGCUUGGCUUAUGGAUCUGUAAGAUACUCAUUUUGUGUUGUUCUAAACCACUUGAGUUUGUGUUGCUUUGUUAUAGCAGCAGCUGAGAGCUAGCUAAUCCACCAAGGCACAUUUGAGAAGCCGCACGAUCCUAGACUACAGUUUUAAACCCUAUGCCUGCCACUCCAGCUUUCUGGCCCUGUUUACUUAGCUUCUCUGUGGCUGGGACUGUUCAUCCAUAUAAACUAGGGCUAUGAAUAGCACCUAUCUCUUAAAGGAGGAAGCACGUUAAUAGUGUCUUCUUUAAUGUAAGCCACCGGUAAGUUAGUAUUUGUUAGCAUUUAGCAACUAAGUCUAUGAAACCUCGAAAUGCUCCUGCUCUUUUUAUAUUGAUUAUUCUUGCUCUGGGAAAGGAAGAUGGCCUGGCCUCUUCGGUCUUUGGUUGCCCCCUCCCUCUAGCCAUAGAUGAGGAAACACAUCUGCAAGGGAGUAUGAUCUUGGGAGAAACAUGGACCAUGGACAGACCCUCAUUUCAUAAUAAGAACAAAGAGAUUCAGAUGAGCCAAGGCAGUGCAGUUUCACAACCUUGCAAAGUCAGGCAUCGUUCUAGAAUGGAGGUGCACUGAUGGAGGACAGGUUAUACACACUAACCCAAGCCCCUUGGUCCCUUUCCUCCUUGGCUUAGUAAUCAGGGGAGUGCCAUUCACUCUACACAGCAUGCGGGGCUUCUCUUUUCUGCUGUCGUUUACACUUGUCAUUUUUUGCCUGAGCUCCACGUCUUGUUUCAUGAGCCACAAGUCCAGUUAGUGGUGAGCAUAAAUAUCUGUGCAUGGGUAUGGGACAAAGGAACACUGGAAUCCUGUCGAUGGCCACAUCCUCAUCAAAGAAGGACUCGUCCUUCCCCAGACACUGAGCAGUCCUGAUGGCACCCUUGGCACUGUUGGCUGGUUCUGAGUUAACUCUCCAGCCCCUGCCUGCAGAAGCAUUACUCUGUUAAUAUCAGCAGACAGCAAUUGGACUCAGCACUCCAAGUCCAGCCUGGGCUCAGAUGUGCAGAGACUAAAAGAAGGGUGUAAGGAUGACGAGAGAAACAGAGAUGCUACAGGUCGCAGAGGCAUGGCAAGCCUGGGCUUGGGGAUGGUGAACUACCUUUGUUCUCCUUCCUUGAGGAGUCUGCCAGCUGGAGAGGAGAUGUAAUGUCACCUUGGAGUGAUGUGCACAGAUUUCUCAGCUCAGCCACUCUCUAAAGAGAGCAUGAGUUAAAGACCCCACUCCUGCCUCUGCUGUUGGCAUCAGCUCCAGGAUCCCAGUUACAAGAAUUCCAGAAUCUCUGUGGAAUCCCAGCCGGGUCUGAAUAAGGACUUCAGUUCGGUUGCUUUGGUUUGGUUUCGGGCUUUGGUAUGUGCGUGGGCUGGCUGGGCACAAAAUCGUGAUACAUUGUCCCAGUUCCCAAGCUGGCCUGGAGCUCUUGAUCUUCCUGCCAAUACUUCCCAAGUAGCUAAGACUGUCAGGACUUACCACCAUGCCACGCCAUGUCUAUGUCUCGUUUUGCUUUGUGUGUGUGUGUGUGUGUGUGUGUGUGUGUGUGUGGUCAGACUGGUUUUUUUUUUUUUCUUUUGCAUAGCAAAUCCUGGCGGUUUUCCACGUAUCAGGCCACUGGGACCUUAGGUAGAUUAGCCUCUGUGCUGUAUGUUUAUCUGAGGCAUAAAGUGUACGUUUUCGCUUUGCUGUUGUGUCGGAGGCUCAAAUUUCCCUCCAUGUGUCUGUUUCUAUCUUCCCUACCACUUUGCCAUCUUCCUAAAGUAGGAAUUAAAGCACAAAAUCUAAGGCUUGCAGGUCCUUUUAGCCAUAGUCUUCUGUUGUUAGGCAGAGGCCCGGUGAUCUGGUUGCAAGCUAUGAGAGAGGUGUCCUGUGAGUCUAUAAUUAGGUCUCGGGCUUAGAGUGAAACACGGUUGGGUAUUUCCACACCGAAAUGGCUAGAGGGUAGCUGAGCCUGGGUAAUUCCCUUUCUUCUGGUCAGGUAAAAUUUGGUAAAACACUAAGUGCUUAAGCAUUAGGAAAAGAAUUUCUUUUGAGGAAAACAAAAGUUUCAGAGCCUGUUCUCAAAAGUCCCAUAGAGGGGCUUUUCUCUGUCCUCACAGAGAAUGUGUGAUAUGGGUGCUGAAGGUGAAUUUUGAGGAAAUGUAGGUGUUUUCUUAAUCAUGGGCCCUCUCAAGAGGGUAAUUCUACACUGAGGCUCAGAAUGGGUCAGUUACAGUGACUUCUGCCCAGAGUUUCUCCCUGAAAACUAUAAUUCUAUCACGUCUCUUUCCAAUUUUCCGGGCAGUAAUUUGUUCCAUGACAUCAGCUUUUGGACAGAUCUAAAAAAAAGAGUCUUCAGUUUAAACUUUUGCUUUGUGUGGUUUGGGUUGGGAUGGGUUUGUCUGUUUGAGACAGGAUCUCAUGUAAUUCGGUCUGAUCUCAGACUACUUAUGUAGCAUGGGGGUGACCCUGAACUCUGAUCCAGUUCCCAAAUUCUGGGAUUACAGGCAUGUGCCACAUGCGCAGAUAAAUUUUCAGUGUGUCUGGCUUUAUCCUCGUUCCAAGGAUGGAAGUGAUGACUUCUAAGUCACAUGUCAGACAGGGAGUCAUCAGGGUGGUUUUAAUGCUGAUGUUACCAUUUAUGAACUUUGUGGUAGUGUGAGCCUCAGGGUUGGUGUGAGUCAGACUCUUAGUCUAGCGUAGGAACCAGGGUGGAGGCGGCUGUGUUUCUUUGGUGAGGACCUGGGCAUGUUACAAACCGUAGUGUAACCUAGAGCAGGCAUGAGCAACCCUUCUCAGGAAAGUUAACCCGAACCUGUGCUUCCUUGGUCCUUUGCCACUUGAAAGCUAACUCAGUUCAGUUUCUAAUAUCUUCUGUGCUCGGCCAUUUCCUGUUACUAAUAGCACAACAACACACUGGCUGGAUUCUAAGCAAGAGGAGUUUAUUUGGCUCAUGCUUCUAUUUUGGUUCAUUGUUCUGGAUUGGUCACAUCUGCCUUCUUGCUGGCAGAGUCCUGAGGAAGAGGCCUAGGUGGAAAGAGUUUGAGCGAGCUGUGUGGAGCAACAAGAGUGAAGUGUAGAGCAGAGGAACGGUCCUCUUUGUUGGGAAUGUACACGGGCAACUCCCUCACCAGGGUAGAGAGCUCAAGAAGGGGCCAUUCAAGUGGAACGUCCCGCAUAGACGAAGAAAAAGAGAUUCUCAAGUGGUACCUGCGCAUCUAGGAGGGAAACAGAGGUUGAUUCGGGGUCGCAGUCUCUGAUACUCUUGACCUUGGGGAGCAGCGUCUGAAAACAGGCGAGGAACGCCUCCUUCAGGAGUGUGAAGGCAGUAAGACUGUCCUGAUGCUGUCAGGCCCGGCGUUGAAUGAUGCUCUCCUAAUGGAAACCACACUGGGGAUAGUUUUAUAAGGCCAUAAAGAAGUGGCUGAAGCUGCAGUAUAGGAAGACUGCAUGCCAUUCUGGGAAACCCACAGAAACAUCAUUUUUCUGGCUCCGAGGGGCUAUCCACACACCUUGCUUCAUGGUUCCCCUCCUAUAGCAUCCAUACCUGCUGCGAUGGACCACACUGCCUUCGCCUUUCCCUCGCUUUCGUCCCUGACAUCUCCGGUUCUCACCUCCUCCU
rnacentral:lncRNA from 1 species